CCAGAGAAGGCAAUAUUCAGUCAGCUAUGGGCUGUCACUGUUCCACAGCAUUGGCUGAUCCUGGCUCUCCCUGUGAAACAUAAAAGGAUUUCCCUUGAAGAGGAUAGAUAGUGAGGAUGUCACUGCUUACUGAAGGCCUUUUCACAAGGGUCCACAAAAGCAAAACAAGUAGAUUUGUUAGUCAUGCUCUGUUCCUGGCCACACAGUCAGCCCUGGGUUACUAAAUUAUAUUGGAAAAAGAUGCUCCUGUAGAAGAGCAGGCAGAAGGAAGAAGAAGCUGUUGGCCAUAUCCCUCAGGAAAGCCCAAAACGGAAGCGCACGCCAGCGCCGGGGAAAGACAGGAUCUGGCUGCAGCGGCUCCAUCCAGCAUACAAAGGUGACAAUGGAACCGCCUCACAGCCAUGCAGUCAUCCUGUGUUCAGGAGCAGCAUUUGCAACAGGACCGCCGUAGAAGUAAUGAGAGCUCAGGAGCCAGAGUCAGUUGGAGGAGAGAAGCAGUUCGAUGAAGAAAGGGAUCGGGGCCUCCAAAUCGAACUGGAGAAUGCUUUGAUGAUCAGUAACUUCAAUGCCAAUGUUAGGUAUACAGGAAGAGAGUGAAAAAGUGCACUGGGACAAAUGCUUUAGGAAUAAACAAAGGCUGC
rnacentral:lncRNA from 1 species